rnacentral:rRNA from 1 species
UGGGGAAUAUUGGACAAUGGGCGCAAGCCUGAUCCAGCCAUGCCGCGUGAGUGAAGAAGGCCUUAGGGUUGUAAAGCUCUUUCAGUGGUGACGAUGAUGACGGUAGCCACAGAAGAAGCCCCGGCUAACUCCGUGCCAGCAGCCGCGGUAAUACGGAGGGGGCAAGCGUUGUUCGGAAUUACUGGGCGUAAAGGGCGCGUAGGCGGGCGAUCAAGUCAGAGGUGAAAGCCCUGGGCUCAACCUGGGAACUGCCUUUGAAACUGAUUGCCUUGAGUUCGGGAGAGGAUGGCGGAAUUCCCAGUGUAGAGGUGAAAUUCGUAGAUAUUGGGAAGAACACCAGUGGCGAAGGCGGCCAUCUGGCCCGCAACUGACGCUGAGGCGCGAAAGCGUGGGGAGCAAACAGGAUUAGAUACCCCCGUAGUCC